rnacentral:rRNA from 1 species
CCCUUAGAUGGUCUGGGCCGCACGCGCGCUACACUGACGAUGGCAACGAGUUUUUCCUUCGCCGAAAGGUGUGGGUAAUCUUUUGAAACAUCGUCGUGCUGGGGAUAGAUCAUUGCAAUUUUUGAUCUUGAACGAGGAAUUCCUAGUAAGCGCGAGUCAUCAGCUCGCGUUGAUUACGUCCCUGCCCUUUGUACACACCGCCCGUCGCUACUACCGAUUGAAUGGUUUAGUGAGGACUCCUGAUUGGCGCCGCCGCCCCGGCAACGGAGCAGCGGACUGCCGAAAAGUUGUUCAAACUUGAUCAUUUAGAGGAAGUAAAAGUCGUAACA